rnacentral:lncRNA from 1 species
GCUGUAAGACUUACUAUAAAUCAUAUACCUUUGUAUUGAGAAUGUGUUAGACUUGACUGUGAUAAAUUUAUGGUUAUGCUAGUUUAUUAGAGGACAAUUUGCUUGAAGGCGCUCUUGAGCCAAACAUUGGAAACUUGAGCCACUUAAGGAGACUGUAAGUAAAUUGGAGUAUAUUAAGUGGCACACCUUUGCUUGGAUAACACUUUUCAAAAAUCCUUUCUUUAUAUUUGUGAGCUCUCUUGAUUGUGAGAUCUGACUUUAAUCUUCCUGCUUAAAUUGGAAAGGAGUUUCUCUUUGUUUAGGAAAUGAAAAUAUACUUUGUUGAAUGUCUAUAACAUUGAGACUUGAUACUUCAGCGUUCCUAAUUCUUGGAAUUUUUUUUUUCNNNNNNNNNNNNNNNNNNNNNNNNNNNNNNNNNNNNNNNNNNNNNNNNNNNNNNNNNNNNNNNNNNNNNNNNNNNNNNNNNNNNNNNNNNNNNNNNNNNNUAGCAAUCUGACGAACUUAGAAGAUUUGUAAGUGGCAUCAUAAUAUUCUUUUUAUUUCUCAAAAUUGAAUUUCCUGUGAGCAAUUUUGAUUUAUAGGCCACUUGCAGUCGUAUAGAUGGAAGCACAUUAUCAGGCAAGAUACUUGAUUUUAUUGGCAAUUGGACCAAAAUUAGAAGAUUGUGCGUAUCUCAAUCCUUCUCAAUUAAGGCAAACAAUUAUUUAUAUGAUUUAUGAGAUACUCAAAAGUUGUUCUUAUAUUACGACAUUAAGUUUUCAGGAACAUGCAAGGCACAUCUAUGGAGGGACCUAUCCCUUCAAGCAUAUCUUUGUUGACAAACCUAACGGAGUUGUAAGCAUUUGAUCCUGUGCAAUUGUUCUUUAUCUCUUAUAAUCUUGUAAGAUUGUGUUUUAGCACAAAAAAGGUAGAAUGAAUGUCAAUGCUAAGUGAUGGAAUGGUUUUAUACGUGUCCAGGAGAAUAUCUGAUUUGAAAGGUCCAAGCUCGAAUUUUCCUGAUUUGCAGGGCAUGAAUAUGAUGAAGAUUUUGUGAGCUCAAUACAAUGAAUAUUUAAUUUUUUUUCUUUUGUUCUUUUUAUUAUAGCUACAUUUCCACUAACUAUUGUAUUUUUUUUUUCACAUCUUAGGAUUAUAAGAAAUUGCUUGCUUACUGGCUCAAUUCCAGAUUACAUUGGGGAAUGGACAUGGUUGAGGAUAUUGUAAGUUUGCUACAAUGGGGUGGAUAAUUCAUUUCUUCAUAAGGAUAAGCGUAAUAGAAGUGUCAUAACUUGUGUAUGACGCUUACUUGAGGGCUAUAAUUUUUUUUUUCACUCACUUAAGUACCAUAUAAGAGUAAAAUUGUUCAUUUGAGUGUCAUUUCAGACAAAUCAUCGUACGUGGAUUUUUUUACUUAAUUUUCCAUUAUGAUGUGGAAUUCUUAAAAAUAAAUGAGAGUUCGACGUGGCCAUUUUUGUUCACCACUCGCAUGGUCUUUCUUUUGUUUCUGAAUCACAAAUUAGGUUUUGCAUCUCUCUCUAAUCUAGGCGAGGUGGUACUGGGCGUGGGUCAUCGGAGCUCAUGGCUACUGGGAGAGGCAUAGGCAGCCGUGGUGAGGCCAGUCUUGCCAUGGCCUAGCCGGCCAUGGGCAAAGGUGGCCUUGCCCAUGGUUAUCGCCCAUGGUCAGCGUAGAAGAUGAUGAGGAUGGAUGACCUUGAGAUGGGUCACGGUUGUGCUGUCCCUGCAAACACGGUCGGCAAAGAAGAUGACGAGGGCUUGUGCCGAUUACACACCCACCCAUUUCUUCUACUUCUUCUUUAGCCCUUAGAUUAGGGUUUUAUAUUUGUUGAGUCCUAUGACACCGUUUAGCAGCUCAAAUGUUGACUUCAGGUUGUCGACAUGCUACAGAGAAGCAAAUGGACGAUAACACUUAAAUGAUCUAUUUUUUAAAUUUGUGACACUUAAAUGAGCAAAAAAAAAAAAAAGUUANNNNNNNNNNNNNNNNNNNNNNNNNNNNNNNNNNNNNNNNNNNNNNNNNNNNNNNNNNNNNNNNNNNNNNNNNNNNNNNNNNNNNNNNNNNNNNNNNNNNCCUUAUGUUUUUUAUGAAGUCCAGUGGAUCGGUUAUUAAGCACCAACAUAUUUUUGGACUUGUCCCAGCAGAGUAUUGCAUUUUUUGAGAAGAGAUUUGUUUCAUGAAUGAGAAAGGCCUCAAACUGAAGAUCAAAUUAUAUGAACUUCUGCAAGUUUUCUUGAGAAAAUUAUAUGAUUCUUCUCUUUUUUUCCAUCUUUAGGUAGAGACCUCAGCGUCAACAGAUUGACUGGUCAAGUUCCUGACAAGAUAGGAGAUGCUCUGGAUUACAUGUAAUUACAAAUUGUCUUGACCACUCCUAAUGUCUCAGCAAAUAUGUAGUUGAUUUUCCUUCCUCAUUGAUAUCAUGUACUCCUCGCAUAGUUGAAUUCCAAACAAUUCUUUCGACAACUUUUAUUUGUGAAUGUAGGUUCUUGACAAACAACUCCCUUACUGGAGCAGUACCCACUUGGGUAACAAGUAGAAAGCAAUAUCUGUUAGUCUCCUAUGAAAAUUUCCAGUUUUUCGUUCUUACUUUUCCAUACUUUUGACAUCGAUUGCAGGAUUUAACUCAUAAUUCCUAGUAUGAGACUCAUGAGUUCACAUCUGAUAUAUCACUCUCCAAUGUUGUACUAUCAUUAUUUAUGGGGGUGAAUAUGCGCACUAACUCGGUCAAGGUAUGUAACUGCAGCGACUUAACUUACAACAAUUUCACCGGUUCUUCUCCGGUCAGUUGUCAGGCAUCGCAAGUGUAAGUCAAUACACAUUCUCUCCUAAGGCAGAAAUUCUAUAGUUUUGUCUCAUCCGCACAAUUCUAGAGUUAUUAUCUAACACAUUGAAUCACUUUCUAGUAAUUUGGUUUCCAGCUAUACGUCUCACCAAAACAAAUCGUAAGUCUCUUUGACUAAGAGCUAUUCCAAUUGUUUGCAUGUGAAAAUUGUAUUGCCGACAAUCUUUGUGGUUUAUCCCUUUAGGCUUUGGUGCUUGGAGAAGGAUCUACCCUGCAGCGCGAAGGCACAAUGUGAGUUUAACAAUGCUUGAAUAGUGGGAAAAUUACCAAAAUAGUCCUAAAUCUAUUGUAAUUUUUCCAAUUCAAUUAUAAUUUUUUUUUUACCAAUUUAGUCAUAAAUCUUUUGCAAUUAUGUCAAUUUAGUUCAUUCGGUUAAAUUUGGCUGGCUAGCGCUAACGUGGAUGCCGGCCGUUCGGCCGACGUUGACAUUGCAAAUUUUUAAUAAUAUUUUAUUUUUGGGAAUUUUUUAUUAAUUUUUCUUUUUUUUUUCUUUCUUCUUCUUCUUCUUUCUGGUCGGUCACUGGACCGGCCAAAGGCCAUGGCUGGUGAGCUCACCCUCAGCUAGAUCUGGCGACAGCGAGCUCGCCUAGCGCUGCAUUGGCGAGGCCCGCCCUUGCCUAGUGUUGCAAGGGCGAGGGCAAGCUUGCCCACGAUGGCAAGGCCUCGCCAUUUGCUGGCAACAUCUCCCCUUGAAUUAUUGUUGAGCAUAAACUGUUGAGCUACUUUUGGCCCCUAUCAUGUCUUAUGUAAUAUCAUCCGACGACCUAUGCAGACUCUUCCUUGUUUAUCAAUUGUGGAGGAAACAAAACGAUUAUUGACGGGAAUCAAUAUGAAGAGGACACCCGUCUGAACGGGCCAUCAUUUUUCUCCACUUCUUCUUUUUGGCCAGAACAGUGGGCUUCCAGCACCACAGGGGUUUAUAUGGGAAAUGAUGAUAAUGAUUACACAGCGGAAUACCCCUAUAUUAUGAAUGUGAACGGCACAGGAUUGUACCAAACGGCUCGCCUUUCCCCUUGGUCGAUCAGAUACUAUGGCCUUUGCAUGAUGAAAGGACGUUACAAAGUGCGGCUCCAUUUUGCUGAACUUCAAUUUCCCGACGACGAAACAUAUAACAGCCUCGGGAAACGUAUAUUCGAUGUAUCGAUACAAGUAAGUGAAGUGAAAUUUGACAGCUGGUUAUUAUUUUAAUUUCAUCUAUUUUGUCGAGUUAUCGCCUUUUGUUAAGGUAUUUGACUUGGGAAAUUGUUAUUAUGACUUGGUGUGUGAUAGGGCUGCACACAACAGUCCGACAAGAGCAUGAUCUUUUCUUACCGAAAUUCUUGUUAAUUCUGCAGGGCAAUCAAGUGUUGAAAGAUUUUAAUAUUGCAGAGGAAGCGGGAGGUGUUGGGACGAGAAUCGAUAAGGACUUUGAUGAUAUUUAUGUUACUGGCAGUACUUUGGAGAUUCAUUUAUAUUGGUCAGGGAAGGGAACCACAGCCAUUCCUGAUAGAGGUAUCUAUGGACCACUUAUUUGCGGCAUUGCAGUGACACCGAGUAAGUCAACAUUGACGUAGAGAUCUAUAUUAUUCUUUCCUCACGUGGUCAUUGAAGCAUUCAUGUAUAAAUCUAUCAUUUUUUUCCUACUCUUAGACCAAGAUUUUGGAAGCAUUGGACUAUCAGUUGGAGGAAGCACUGGACUAUCAGUUGGAGCAAUCACUGGAAUUGUAGUAGCUUUGGUGGUUCUCCUUGUAUUGAUAAUAUUGGUCCUUUGGCUAAGAGGAUUCUUAGAUUUUAGAGACAUUGAAGAUCGAGGUGAGGUCAUACUGACUUGUUUGCUCAUGCAAGAAUCUAUCUCUUAUUGAUUCAUCACACAAGUAUAAUGCUUAAUUCAAGACUGUAUUUAUCUGCUUUCUUUGUACUUUUUUGUGGAAUUCUUACAAGUAAAUUGUGACCACAAAAGUCGCCAUUUUUUUCAUUUAACUAGGAUUGCAUGUCUAUGAGGCAUGACCAUAUGGGUAAAUUCCUCCUCAGGUUGAGUGUCUGUUGUAGAACUGUCUUUUUUUCAAUUAUUAUUAUUGCAUUCCUAUUAUAUACCAUGAUUUUUAUUUUAUUUUUUAGAAUUACAUGGGCUAGAUAUCCAAAUCGGCCAUUUCACUUUAAGGCAAAUCAAAGCUGCUACAGGCAAUUUCAACUCUGUGAAUAAGAUAGGUGAAGGAGGGUUUGGCCCAGUUUACAAGGUGAUUCACAAUAUUUUCAUAUCUUCAUUCUCCNNNNNNNNNNNNNNNNNNNNNNNNNNNNNNNNNNNNNNNNNNNNNNNNNNNNNNNNNNNNNNNNNNNNNNNNNNNNNNNNNNNNNNNNNNNNNNNNNNNNCUUUAUCGACUUGUUAGUAAGCAGCUUUCUUCUAGAUCAAAGCAAGGUAAUCGUGAAUUUCUCAAUGAGAUAGGCAUGAUAUCCGCUCUCCAGCACCCAAAUCUCGUAAAGCUUUACGGCUGCUGCAUUGAAGGAAAUCAGUUGUUACUAGUUUACGAAUAUUUGGAGAACAAUAGUCUUGCCCGAGCACUUUUUGGUAAAGGAUGCUUUCCCUAAGCUAGCUAAUAUCCUAUUAAUGGGCAUUCAACUAAACCCUCUCUCUUCCCAGGACGAGAUGAUCAACAGAUUGAGUUGGACUGGGCCACGAGAAAGAAAAUAUGUUUGGGAAUAGCUAGGGGAUUGGCUUACCUUCAUCAGGAAUCUAGGUUGAAAAUUGUUCAUAGGGACAUAAAAGCGGCAAAUGUGCUACUUGAUAAGGAACUAAAUGCCAAGAUCUCAGAUUUUGGUUUGGCCAAACUCAAUGAAGAAGACAAUACGCACAUCAGCACAAGAAUAGCUGGAACAAUGUAAGUCUUUUGUUAUUUUGGUUAAUUCUCUUCUUUUAAUUAACUUUAUCUAAUGAGCUUUUGAUUGCUACAUAUCUGUGAUGUGUUAGCUGAUGUCCUCUUUUUAUGGCCAUACUCACCAUUACUAUCUUGUCUUGCCUCAGAGGUUAUAUGGCUCCUGAAUAUGCUCUGAGGGGCCACUUGACAGACAAAGCCGAUGUUUACAGCUUUGGAGUUGUCGCUUUGGAAACUGUCAGCGGAAAGAGCAACACAAAUUAUAGGUCGAAGAAGAUUCUGUUUAUCUCCUUGAUUGGGUAACGUAUGGCGACCUUAAGUCUUAUAGAAAUUAUGCAGCCAAGCUUUCACUGGACUUAAAGCUCUCUUUCUCUACUUUCUGCUGGUUUGCUUUUGGGACUUGCAAGUAGAAUGAUGGCAUGUGACUUCAUAACUAAAUGAUGGAACAAGCUAUUGGGAACAAAUUCGAUCAGAGUAAAUAAAUAUAUGAAGGAAUAAUUUCUUUGAAGGACUUCUCCCUAAAAGGAAAAAGAAAAGAUGGGUUAGAAGCUUAGAACGUUGAUACGUAUGCAUGAGCAGGCUCAUCGGUGGAGAACAUAAAUGCAUGAACAUGAUGGGAUUCCAUCUUGAUUGUUCCUAAAUCUGUUUUCUGUUUCUAAAAGCAUGAUAACCGACUAAUCUUCUAUUUCUUUUUGUACAUGAUGAAAGGCCCAUGGGUUGCAAAAGCAAGGGCACGUUCUUGAACUCAUGGAUCCACGUCUUGGCUCAUAUUACUCCGAGGAAGAGGCAAUGGGAAUACUCAACCUGGCACUUCUAUGCACCAAUCCUACACCAACUCUUAGGCCACCAAUGUCAUCUGUGGUGAGCAUGCUCGAAGGAAAAAGCCCGUUGCCAGCACAGAUAAUCAAGUGCACCGCAACAAAUCCAGAUCCUAGGUUCAGAGCCUUCGAGAGUCUAGCUAAUGAUAGUCAAACAAAUGUCUCGACAUUCUCUGAGGACAAUGACCAAGUGCAGGGAAGCAUGUCCAUACCAGGUCCAGGGAUUGACUCUUCAGCUUAUUUCACGAGUAAGGACGAAAGCCAUUCUUCAGAGAUCACGCUUCUCUCAGCUUCUUAGGACUCAGAUUCGUUCAGUAAUUAUUAUCUGUUAAUCAUUUAUUCUAUCCAAUAGUGUAAAGGAAUUAGAUGGCGGAAAUAUAGGGGAUAAGAAUAUGGCUGAAGGAUGUUGUACAACCACGUUAUUGUCCGUCCAAGCCCUCGCAUGAGUAUAGAUCCUGUGCUGGCCUUUAGGCACAAUGUCUGGCUUCAUCUGGGUAACUCUCAAUUGUUUGAAUUUUCCCUACUUUGAAUUUUUUGGUAUAGUAUGUGCAUCAUAAAUUCACCAUUUUUCGUCCACGAAAAAUCCAACACGAGAGCACUUUGUUCCCUUUAUCGUUUUACAUCGAUUUGAUACUAUAAAAGCACCUAAGAUCUCGAACACAGCUUAAAAAAUGUCUAGUUACUAAGCUCACAGUUAGGAAAUUGUAGAUUUAUUGAUUUUAGGCAUUGUCUAUUGUGUACUCCCAACAAAAGUACACUAAUAGAAGUUGACCUCUUAAAAAAAAAAGUCAUUAGCAUGACUUCAUGUAAUCUUCAACUCAUUUUAAUCGGUGACUUAUUGAAAACUCAAAAUCCCUAAAUUUUCACAUUUUUGAUGAAGCUCAGGAAAUGAACAAAACAUUGAUGAGGCCAUUUUCUUCUCAUUACUAUGAUUCCAUGGGGUUGCAGUACGGUUUAGGAUGGAAAAAGUUCAUGGAUGGACGUAGGUGAAGCCCAUCAAGGUCACGGAGAAGCAGAAAAAAUAAUAUAGUAAAAAGCCAUGAGAACGUGUGCCUAGUAUAAAUCAGACGGCUACUGUUCACUAAAUCCACAUGCCUUUAGUUUGGACAGUGAGAAGGAAAAGCAGAAUCAUAAUUGUAAGGCAACAGCUUAUCGUGAACCUUUCUGGGUGAAAAGAUAACACCAAGUUCAUGAUCUAGGCAAAUUAUUGUGGAACCUAUCUUACUGGUUCAUGGACCAAAUGAAGACAAAAACAAUCUGAUCUUUUCACUUUCCAAAAGAAUUUCUCCAACUGCCACUGCCUAGCGAGCACCCUUAACGCUUCCAAUCAUUGAAGAGUGGUAAGUAAUUCUGCAAUGGAUAAAUCUGAAGCUUCCCAGAAUGGUUGUUUUGAUGCUUCUUGCAGAAAUGAGCCAAAGAUUCAGACUUCAACCUCACUUGAUUAAGAACUCCUUACACAAAUUUGCAAUGGAUGGGGCUGACAGGAUAAUGAAGGAUGGAAAUCUCAGAAAUUCGGCUCAUCUAACGUGGUCCACUGAGAUCUUUCUGGGGAAAAUGUGAAGUUCAACCCCCUUAAUUCUGGUGUGAAUGGUCAUGAGCAAGCAACAGAAAAUGCAGUUUAGAGUGCAAAAGAUGAAGCAGGCUUCACUAGCAAAUGCUGAGGCACAAGUUAAACCAUAUUGAAGGAGAGAUUUAAAUCAAAUAAAUGGAAGAACGACCAAAUAUAAGUGGCACCCUCAAGUGUAAAAUACAGAGGAUGCUCGAUCAGUAGGUAAUGCUGAAUUGCUCCAUAACACUAUAAUUUUCUUGGCAGUUCUGAUCAUUAAGUUUGCCGCAAUGCAAAUGAGACUUAUGACUAGAUUCUAGGCGUUUCCAAUCUGGCUUUCAUACCACUCCCUUCGUGUUUUUGCUGUCUCCACUUCAAACGCUGGAUCACAUCCAGGCAUCCCUCAAGAAAAAAUUACUGAAGAUAUGCAAAGUAACAAUAGCAGGAGUCACAUUUCUGAUAUCAAAGUGGCUGAGUGACAGUAAAAGAAACCUGCAUUCGGCAUUGAGAUUUUGUUGGGCCCUAUGCUGCUCAAUCUAUGUCUUCCUCAUGCUUCUCGGAUUAAUAAUCCCAGGGCUUGUUAUGGGUGGUUUUGCAAUGAAACACUAGGUGACCAAACCAAUUCAGACAGCAGAGACCCUGAAUUUAGUUUACACUAAACCUAACCUUGUAGAUUCGGACAUCUCAAAGUCAAUUGUAGUAAUUUCUUAUUUAUUUUCGAUCUUGUGAAAUGUGCAGAGACGCAAAGUCCUCAAGAGAUGCAGCUCUACGAUACCUCAAUAAUUUCAAUGAAAAACUAUCAAGGUGAUUCGACUUGUUUAUUUAUAUGUUAUUCUGAUUGUUGUUUGAUAGGUUGAGCGCUUAGAGGUACGAGUAAAUAAAGCUUUGUAGAGUCAACUUUUCUGUACGUUCAUGUCAUUUCCUAAACCUAUCUUGCACAUCCCAUUUGUUUAGCUUAUCCAUUUGAAUAAUUGUGAAAUGUCCAUGUUCCAUCUGUAUAAUGUAUUUUAAUUUUAAAAUUGGUUCAUGUAUUAUUUUGAUGAUAAAAACUUUAUUUGCAUUGUUAUAUGGAGCUCCUUUUUAGCAGUUAGGUGGUUGAGAUUAAGUCAAAGAUUAAUCAAGUGCGCCCAGAUUUUGAAGAAAAUGGGUAAAUUUAAUAAGUUAUACAUGUAAUUAAUAAUGUUAACUUUUGCUCCAAUACAAUAUUUAUUAUGAUGAAUAUGUGCUUUUGCAAACAAUGAUUGAUAGAUGCAGUCCAAAUCCGCUCUAGAGAGGUAAGUGAGGAACCAUACUUAAUAAAUCGACCUCAAUAACAUAGUUUUGCCUCGGAUAGGAUUUUACUUGAUUUGACAAAGAUGUUUAGUACAAAAACAAAUUGAAGAGGGUCAGUGAGAAGCUGAAACUUGCUAAGGAGUUUUCGAAUUACAAAACUUCUCUUGAUCAGCUUUAUGACGGCAACUUCAUUUUAUUAGCUCGGUAAUUUUAUGAGUUUUUCCCAACAUGACGGUCUCGGUUAGUGUUAUAUCUGACUCGGUCAUGUUACUUUUUCAUAAGUGUGUUUCGUAAAUUCCAAGAGAAGAUGCAAAUCUUCUUGGCACAUGUUGUAAAUUAAGAAAGAAGAAGAAGGAUUUGCUGGAACAGUUGAUGAUCACAAUAAGGAAGUGAAUGAAUGAGAACAUCAAAAGGAGGAAAAUGGUAAUCUAAUGGUUUAAGAUACCGAUUAUGUUUUUGGAGUCGUUAGAUGCAUGUUCACCACAUUAUUUUAUUUUUUUUCGAAAUGCAAGUCAAUGAUGAUAUGAGGGUUUCGGCGAAGUUGAUGCGACGGUGUCAAAGGAUGAAAGGCGUCAGGAUCCCAUAACCACAAUAUUGACAUCAUAGGUCGUGCCCUUCUGAGCAGUUUUAAGCUAAUUAGUUGUUUUUAGUGGACCAUUCAACUUUUUUUGGAACACAUUGUUGGAUAUUAAAAUUUUUUGAUCGGGUUGCAAAUGCCCUUCUCACUGAGUUUGCUUGUUUUUGGGAACACUUAGAAUAUCUUGCAUAUGCAAUGACUACCUUGGCUUGUAUAAAUAUUUGAUUCAAGGGCAAACAGUCAUUGGCUUAUGCAAGAUUAUCUAACUGUUUCCAUAAACAAGCUGAACUCGGUGGCAAGGGUAUUUGCAACCCAAUCAAAUUUUUCUAUAUCCAAUAAUGUUCCCAGAAAAAGAAGCUGAAUGGUUCCUAAAAAUAACUAUUAAGCUUUAAACUGCUUAGCGAGGAGCGAGUGACCUAUGAUGUUGAGGUUGUGGUUGUGGGAUCCUAAGGCUUUUCAUCCUUUGGCAUUGUGGUAUCUUGAACCAUUAGAUUACUAUUUUCCCCUUUAAUAUUCUCGUUUACUUCCUUGACAUGAUCAUUAACUGUUCCCAGCACAUCCUUCUACUUCUUUCUUAAUUUAAAAUCUGUGCCAACAAGAUUUGCACGUCCUACUGAAAUUCACGAAAUGCAUAUAUAAAAAAGUACACGGUCAACAUAACCUAAUUAUCGAAAUAACCAAUAAAGUUACCACCAUAAAGCGGAUUGGAGUUUUUGUAAUUUAAAAACUACUCAUAGAGUUUGUUCAGCUUCGUCCCUCUUUAACCUGUUUUUGUACUACAUAUCAUCAUCAAAUCAAGUAAAAUCAUUUUUAAGGCAAAACCACAUUAACGAAGUCAACUAAUUCAAUACGAUACUUUACUUAUUUCUACAGAGUGACUUUGGAUAUAAACGUUAAAAACAUGUUCUUUGGAUAUAAACAUUGUAUUGAAGCAAAAGGUAACAUUACUAAUUGCAUGAAUAACUUAUUAAAUUUACCCAUUUUCUUCAAAGUCUAAGCACACUUGAUUGAUCUUGGAUUUGAUCUAAGCCGUCUUGCAGCAAAACAAAGGUUUAAUAUAUUGAUGCAUAUAAAUUUUUUAUUAUCAAAAUAAAACAUGAACCGACGUAAUUAAAUGAAAGAAUUUAUAUGGAUUGAACAUUGAUAUGUCACGGUUAUUUAGAUAUAUAAGUCAUGAAUAAGCUAACAAGUGGGAUCUGCAACAUAAAUCUAAAAAAUGAUGUGAACGCACAAAAGAAUUCAGACCCUUUCCGAAUUUCAUCCAUUCAAACCUCUUAAGAGCUCAACCUAUCGGACAACAAUCAACAAAUUAUGUUUAAAAAAAAAUGAAACAAGUCGAAUCACCUUGAUAUUGAGGUAUCAUAGAGUUGCUUCUCUCGAGAGCUGUACGUCACUGCACAUUUCACUAGACAAAAAGUGAAUCGGUAAUUACUAUAAUCGACAUGGAGAUGUCCAAAUCAACUUAUAGCUUCAUCCUCUUUAUUUCCCUCUCAUUCGUCAUGGAAGUCAUUGUGGGAUAUUCUGCACUUUUCCUGAAAUAAAUACAAAAAAAAAAAAAAAAAACUAAAGGCAUUGUAUCAAAAUUUAAAACAAACUAGUAAGUCAAGAAGCUGAAAUUGAUAACUUGGUUCAUCAAUUCAUCUUCGUGUAAAUUACAACAAUACGCAAGAUUAUUUGAGAAUCAGUCACAUUCGAAGCCAAAGCAGAAGCGACUAGACCCAAAGUGCAAGCAAAUCAAUUACAACGAGAAAAUUCUACGAGAAAAUUGAAGAAGCUUCUCGUUCCAAAACAACUCUAACAUGAAAUGAAUUAGGUCCAAAAGCGUGCAUAUUGAUUACAGCAAGAAAAUCGAAGAAGCUUCUCAUUCCAAAAAAACCCUAAUAUGAAGUGAAUAGACCCAGAAGCAUGCACAUAAAUUACAGUGAGAAAAUCGAAGAAGCUUCUCAUUCCGAAACAACCCUAAGAUGAAACAAAUAGUCCUCGAAGCCUGCACAUCAAUCAUAGCAAGAAAACAAAGAAGCUUCUCAUUCCACUAGCAUGAAACGAAUAGUGUGCACAUUACUAGGAGAAAAUCGAAAAAGCCUCUCAUUCUAAAACAACUCUAAUGUGAAACGAAUAGAACCAGAUGUGUGUACAUUGAUUACAGCAAGAUAAUUGAAGCUUCUCGUUCCAAAACAACUCUAAUAUGAAAUGAAUAGACACAAAAGCGCGUUAUUACAAAGAUGAAGCGAGAAAAGAACUCACUGGAUAACUGGCUUCGGUUAGAGCGAGAGAGGGACUGCGAAAUCUUGAGUCAAGAGAGGGUGCGGGGGAGAGAGGGCGAAGAGGCGAGUGAAGGGCAAACAAGGUGUAGGCAAGAGAGCGAGAAGGUAAUAUAUUUUGAAACUGCUUUUGAAUUUUUUAUAGGAAAGUAGAAUUUUAAGAACGUCCUCAAAUGAGACCAAAAAUUAAACAGUUGAGGAAUAAGAUGACAAUGUCCAUAAUGAGAGAUGGCGGCUAGAAGGUGAGCUCUAGACGAAUAGAGCUACGCCAGCCGCCUUGGUGCCUCCGAGCCAAGAUCCUCGGGGAUAAGGGAGGUUUGAACCAAAACAGAAACUCACCGGGAACAACGGGCUUUUGGGAGCGAGGAGUAGUGUGUUCGUGGGGGUCAGCUAGAGGUCGUCGGAGGGGAUUCGGGCAUGACCGGACUACUAGGGAACCCUCUCGAGCUCCUCCCUCGAGCUCUUCAAAAAAGUCCCGGCGAGCAGCCCGCGAGAACGCUCGCCCUUCUCCCUCUCUCUCUCUCGGUUGCUCCUUUUUCCUCUGUUCCUCUCGCCCACGCCUUCAGCCAAGCCCCCCACGAAGCCUGCAGAACAGUGGAAGGAGAAGGCCUUUACUUUGCUUCCCUGGCCAAAACCCAAGAUGGUGGUCUCUCGCCCUCUCCCACUUUUUAAGCCGUCCGGCGCUCAUGGCGUGCCUCCUGCGACGCCAGCUGUUGCUGCCGGUCCGCCUCCGACCACCAGCUCCGGUGCGGAGCACGCCCUGCUUCCCCUGCUACUGUUCGGUAACCUGUCCUCCGUCCUUGCUUCCCCGUUUGUCGUCGAGCCAACGGUCAAAGUGGAGAGAAGGAGAAAAGAAGAGGAGAGGGCCGGGCCGGGCCGGGCCGGGGAAAAAGGAAAAAAAAGAAGUGGGCUGGGCCGGCCCUGAGGGAAAAAAAAAAGGGAAUGCUGCGGUUUUUCUAAUUAUUUUUUUAAAAUUAAAAUUUUAACAUUUUUUAAGAUUUUUAAUAUUAGCAAUACAACUGUUCCUAAUUUCUAUAUGGGAUGCAAUUUAAUGAAAACGUGAUGCAUUUUAAUGAAAAUUCUUUACUUUACUUUUUACUUUUUUUAAGAUAAAUCCAUAAUUUUCUAUGCAAUUAAAUCUUUAAUAAAAAUGGCAAAAUUUAGGUGUCAACAAACAUGUCAAAAAACAUCUAGAAUAUGGUAAAGUUAUAUCAUGGGUUUUUAGCUUUUCCAUUAAAACCUAAUCAUUCAAAAGAAGUCUUAACUCAGUCGGUGCAUAUGAAAUUUGACAUGCAAGCACUCUAGACAUGCACAAUCCUAUCCAAAAAUUUCAGUUUGGUUUUUAGCAUAGCCAUCUUCGAAUUCCCCACAUUCGGUAGUCAAACUCAUAUCAUCCUUUCUAAAGAGAGGAGGCAUUCUAUAGCUAAUAAAUACAUCGAAAAAGAGUGGAGCACGAAAUGGGAAAAAGAAAAGCCAUUGAUAUCAAAUGCAAGCGGUUCCGCACUACUUCUAUACAAAAUACAUAAUUUACUUGUAUAUGUAGAUAUGUGAUCAAACAGACAUAUGGGGUCUCAUACAUACCCGGAAUGAAAAUGUGUUUUUGGUGCAUCGCUCAUUUGGUUACUUCGGUAAUAUACUUAUCUUUCCAAAGAUGCUUUUGUUAAAUUUAAAGAGGAAAAUAAAAAGUUGUCUACACUAGUUAAAGAAUCAAGAGAGAAGGAAAAGGCUUUGGUGGCAGCAAUUGGGGAAAACAUUAAUGAAGCCAAUGAAUACAUAAGAAUGAGGAAACGGGUGAACGGGUGAUUUAAUGUUUCAAGAAAUUUUUGGAAUCUUGGUGCAUGUUCAGAUGAGGACAUUCUUUUUUUCGAAAUGCAGGGCCAUGAAUAUAUGAGGAAAUUGACAAAGAUUUUCAACUCAUGAAAGAUUAGGACUAAAUUUUUCACUGGAUGAUGGUUUGGAGACGGUUUCCAUGUUGAUUCUCAAUAGAUGAAUCAACAUGAUCAAUGAAUCGGAAGAAAUAAAGCGAAUGGGACAUACCUGAACAAGAUAGCAUCGGGUUUGAACGAUUCAAAAAUCCAAUAAGACCUGAACACAAGAGAGCACUGCAUUUUAGGGUUUGAGCAAUUCGAAUUUCGAAGAUGCAGGAUUACUUUAUGCAUCCCUCAACAAAUAAAUCAACACAAUCAGUGAAUCGGAAGAAAUAAAGUGAAUGGGAUGUACUUGAAUAAGAUAGCACCGGGUUUGAGCGAUUCAAGAAUCAAAGAAGACCUGAACACAAGAGAGCAAUGCACUUUAGGGUUUAAGCAAUUCAAAUUUCGAAGAAGUAGGAUUACUUUAUGCAUGUGCGAAUCAACAGAAGACAAUGAGGAGGUACGACACGAAUCGCCGGCUAUGAAUCGUGAUGGUGGCGAUUGAAGAGGGAACACCCUCCGAACUAUUGUGGUAAACCGAGACUCUGAGUGUAUGUCAUGAUUUUGCUCAAGCUUCUAUUCCGUCACGUACUUUGUUUCUUCAAGUAGAGUACGAGAGUGGGAGAGAGGGGGGGCUCUUUGGGGCUUAAAAAGUGAAUUUUGAGUGAUGGGCUUGAGCCCAUAGGCCAGUUACGUAGGAGCUAGGUUUUCUUCUAUUCUGGCUGGCUGAAAUCGUCAAUAUGCGAGAUGGGCUUCACACGCAUUUAUUCAUUUUUUGGUCCUUUUACUAUUAUUCACUUCUUCUUUUCACAUGUUACGCAUCGAGCAACUCCAAAAGCGCUAGUCAUAUCUAGAACCAUUAAAUUACCAUUAUCUUCCCUUUGAUGUUGUCAUUCAAUCACUCAAUUUGAUCAUGAAUUGUUGCCAGCUUAUCCUUCUCAUUCAUUCUUAAUUCGACAAGCUAUGCCAAGAAAUUUUGCUUCUCAGCUUGGAACUUACGAAAUUCAUCUAUGCAAAAAUAGAUGACCAAAAUAAUCAAAUCAAUUGUACCACUAGCUUAUUGAGAAAAACUCAUAAACUUAAGGGACUAACAAAUAAAGUUACCUCCAUAAAUCUCAUCACAAGAGGUUUUGUAAUUGCAUAAAUAUUGAUAUAGUUUGUUGAGGUUCUCGUUCUCGUUCUUCAAUUUCUUCUCGUAUUGCAUAAUAUCAUCAAAUCAAAUAAUAUCCCAUAUUAUCGAAGUCGACUAAUUCAAUACAAUUCCUCGCUUAUAUCUGCAACAUGAUGUCGAAAUUCCUUCAACAAUUGUUGUCUAAAGGGAAAAAAACAUAUUAAUUAGAUAUAAGUAUUAUGUUGAAGCAAAAAUUAACAAUACUACUUAUAUGUAUCACUUGUUAAACUUACCAAUUCUGUUCAAUCUCUAAGCUCACGUGAUUAAUCUUGGCCUUAACUUCAGCGAUCCCGCCGCAAAAGAUGAGUACAAUAAAAUAA